rnacentral:rRNA from 1 species
CAGCCGCCGCGGUAAAACGAAGGGUGCAAGCGUUAAUCGGAAUUACUGGGCGUAAAGCGUGCGUAGGCGGUGAGUUAAGUCUGCUGUGAAAUCCCCGGGCUCAACCUGGGAAUGGCAGUGGAUACUGGCUCGCUAGAGUGUGUCAGAGGAUGGUGGAAUUCCCGGUGUAGCGGUGAAAUGCGUAGAGAUCGGGAGGAACAUCAGUGGCGAAGGCGGCCAUCUGGGACAACACUGACGCUGAGGCACGAAAGCGUGGGGAGCAAACAGGAUUAGAUACCCCGGUAGUCCCUGUCUCUUAUAC